rnacentral:tRNA from 85 species
GCCCAGGUGGCGGAAUUGGUAGACGCGCUGGUUUCAGGUACCAGUCUUGCAAGAGGUGAAGGUUCGAGUCCUUUCCUGGGCACCA